CUUGGAUCCUGACAUCAGGGGGGAAAAAUGCAGUGUCAUAGAAAAAAAAAAAAAGUAAAGAUCAGCAGACAAGAGGAAAAGUAACUGAAGAGCUGUUUCCUGUGCCUGCCCCUGAGAGCUGAUGGCUUCCCAGAGAUGCCUCACAGUCCUGCGCAGACAGAGAGAAUGCAGAAGCUGGCAAAGGAUCCUCCACACGCAAGAUCAGAGGACGUCCCAGAUCAUCUUUUCUUUGUGGAUACUGCAGGUCUACGUGAAAUAGUGUGUUUUUGCGGGGUGCUGUCCCUUAGGACAAGUGAAGGGCUGAUGAGAAAGGAAACUGCGUGAGCCAGGUGUACAGUAAGGAGCAGACAACAUGGCACUGGCCAAGUGGAAAGGCUGUUUGCAUAAUAAGAUUACGAUGGGGUGGCCUGCCUUCCCUGUGUGCUACGUAAACAUCACACCUGAUCCAACCAAUCUGCAGGCCCUACAUAAAUCAGACACCGCCUCCUCCAGCCUGCCUAUAAAAUCUGGUACACUCCACGUGGGCCAGAAGUCCCAUUUGGAUGCCCCUCUCUUUCGCAAGAGAGAGAGCUGUUCUCCUUUCUCUUUCUUUUGCCUAUUACAUUCCGCUCCUAAAGUCACUUCUCAUGUAUGUCCACGUCCUUAAUCUUCUUGAUGCAAGACAAUGAACCCGGGUAUUUACCCCAGACAACAACACCACUUCACUAGGAGUUAAAAGAACUUGAAAUGCAAAUUCAUGGUCAUCUGGUUCCAAAGCCCAUAUUAACAAAAUUUUUUUAAUUGUGAUAAAAUACACAUAACAUAAAGUUGACCGUGUUAACUGUUUUUAAAUGUACAGUCCAGUAGUGUUAAGUACAUUCACAUUGUUGGGCAAUCCUUCUUCAGAACUUUUUAAGUUUCCCAAACUGAAGCUCUGCGUCUAUUAAGAACAACUCUUUCUUCCAAUCCCCAGCUGUUGGCAACUAUCAUUCUACUUUCUGUCUUUAUGCAUUUAAUAAUUCUACGUACCUCAUAUAAAUGAAAUCAAAUGGUAUUUGUAACUGGCUUAUUUCACUUAGCAUAAUAUCCUCAAGAUUCAGUCAUAUUGUUAUAUGUGUCAUAAAUUGCAUUUGUAAUAUCACAAACUACACCUUGAUAUAUUGUCUACUGAUUAGCAUGGAUUUAUAAUUAUUUUUAUGCUUUGCCUUCUACAUUCUAUAAAAGAAUAAAAAGUUGAGUUAAAAACCAAAAUUAUAAUAAUGAAAGUUUUUACAUUUGCCCAUAUUUUUACCUUCGCUAGAAAAUUUUAUAUGGCCUAGCAUCCAUUCAUUUUAACUUAAGGGAUUCUCUUUCACAUUCCUUAC
rnacentral:lncRNA from 10 species